rnacentral:rRNA from 1 species
AUGUCUAAUUUUUUUUUGCCUGGGGAAUUAAUCGAACUACUGCGAGCGAAACGAGCAGGGCGAGCUUUGGAUUCGAUCUAUUAUCGGGCAAUCUUAUUGGGAAUAACAAGGGCUUCCCUGAAUACCCAAAGUUUCAUAUCUGAAGCAAGUUUUCAAGAAACUGCUCGAGUUUUAGCAAAAGCUGCGCUACAAGGUCGCAUUAAUUGGUUGAAAGGCUUGAAAGAAAACGUAGUUAUGGGGACUAUACCUCUUGGUACCGGAUUCCAAAAAUUUGUGCAUCGUUCCCCACUAGACAAGAACCUUUAUUUCGAAAUAAGAAAAAUCUAUGCGCCGGAAAUGAGAGAUUUUUUGUUUCUCCAUACAGAAUUCGUUUCUUCCGAUUCUGACGUAACAAACAAUUUUUAUGAGACAUAA